ACGGGAGGCGCAGUGGGGAAUAUUGCACAAUGGGGGAAACCCUGAUGCAGCGACGCCGCGUGGGUGAAGAAGUUUUUCGGAAUGUAAAGUUCUAUCAGCAGGGAAGAUAAUGACGGUACCUGACUAAGAAGCACCGGCUAAAUACGUGCCAGCAGCCGCGGUAAUACGUAUGGUGCAAGCGUUAUCCGGAUUUACUGGGUGUAAAGGGAGCGCAGGCGGUACGGCAAGUCUGAUGUGAAAGCCCGGGGCUAAACCCCGGUACUGCAUUGGAAACUGUCGAACUAGAGUGUCGGAGGGGUAAGUGGAAUUCCUAGUGUAGCGGUGAAAUGCGUAGAUAUUAGGAGGAACACCAGUGGCGAAGGCGGCUUACUGGACGAUAACUGACGCUGAGGCUCGAAAGCGUGGGGAGCAAACAGGAUUAGAUACCCUGGUA
rnacentral:rRNA from 1 species